GAACGCUGGCGGCGCGUCUAAAGCAUGCAAGUCGAACGGGUAUAUGGGAGCAAUCCUGUGUAUCAGUGGCGGACGGGUGAGUAAUGCGUAGAUGAUCUGUCUUUGGGUGGGGGAUAGUCCUGCGAAAGUGGGAGUAAUACCGCAUAAGGUGUGAUGGUUAGAGACAUUACAUGAAAGUAUUUAUACGCCUGGAGGUGAGUCUGCGUUCCAUUAGCUAGUUGGCAGGGUAAGAGCCUACCAAGGCAAAGAUGGAUAACCGGUCUGAGAGGAUGACCGGUCACAUUGGGACUGAGAUACGGCCCAGACUCCUACGGGGGGCAGCAGCUAAGAAUCUUCCGCAAUGGGCGAAAGCCUGACGGAGCGACGCCGCGUGGACGAAGAAGGCGCUCUGCGUUGUAAAGUUCUUUUCACUUAGAAAAAGAUAUAUCGAAGGAUGUAUUGAUGGUAUAGGUGGAAUAAGCCCCGGCUAAUUACGUGCCAGCAGCCGCGGUAAGACGUAAGGGGCGAGCGUUGUUCGGAGUUAUUGGGCAUAAAGGGCGAGUAGGCGGUCUAUUAAGUUACAGGUGGAAAGCAAGAGCUUAACUUUUGUCGUGCCUGUAAAACUGGUGGACUAGAGUACGAGAGAGGAUGCUGGAAUUCCUGGUGUAGGGGUGGAAUCUAUAGAUAUCAGGAGGAACACCGAUGGCGAAGGCAAGCAUCUGGCUCGAUACUGACGCUGAGGAGCGAAAGCGUGGGGAGCAAACAGGAUUAGAUACCCUGGUAGUCCACGCCAUAAACGUUGUAUACUAGGUGUAUGAGGUAUCGAUCCCUUGUGUGCCGAAGCGAAUGUGAUAAGUAUACCUCCUGGGGAGUAUGCCGGCAACGGUGAAACUCAAAGGAAUUGACGGGGGCCCGCACAAGCGGUGGAGCAUGUGGUUUAAUUCGAUGAUACGCGAAGAACCUUACCUGGGUUUGACAUGCAGGCUACGGGAUAAGAGAUUAUCCUUCCCGCAAGGGGGCUUGCACAGGUGCUGCAUGGCUGUCGUCAGCUCGUGUCGUGAGAUGUUGGGUUAAGUCCCGCAACGAGCGCAACCCUCAUAUCUAGUUGCCAACGGGUAAUGCUGGGCACUCUAGAUAAACUGCCGGACGUAAGCCGGAGGAAGGUGGGGAUGACGUCAAGUCCUCGUGGCCUUUAUAUCCAGGGCUACACACGUGCUACAAUGGUAAGUACAAAGAGGAGCGAAGCCGCGAGGUGGAGCAAAUCUCAGAAAGCUUAUCGUAGUUCGGAUUGGAGUCUGAAACCCGACUCCAUGAAGUUGGAAUCGCUAGUAAUCGCAGAUCAGCACGCUGCGGUGAAUACGUUCCCGGGCCUUGUACACACCGCCCGUCACACCACCCGAGUUGGAUGUACCCGAAGUCAUUGAGCUAACUGCAAAGAAGCAGGUGCCUAAGGUA
rnacentral:rRNA from 1 species